ensembl:lncRNA
CACUGCAAGUGAUUUUAUUAAAAUAUUUCACAAGCGCCAAAUGUGAGGGGAGGAGGAAGGUGGAGGCAUAGACUUGAUUCCAGAGAGAGGUGGCAUCGCUGCAGGAAAGGGUGGCAUGGGCCAGGAAGGUGCAACGCUAAGAAGUCAGCGACACCACCGUUUUGCCGAAGUCUUGACUUGUCUCUACAUUUAGCAAGGCCUUCUCCCCAGUGAGGAAAGUCGGGCCCAGCGGCCUUAAGUUCACGAUGUGUGAUCCAAAUGAAUGAAGCGCCAUGAUUCAGAUUUGCCUAAUAACAGAUGGUGUGCAGCAAAUUCCCUGCAAACGAACCUUCAAGCUGCAGACUUUCAAAGAUGUGGACGUGGAUCCGCAUGUCCGACCACGUAAGCUGGUCCGUGUGUCUGGUGUACACGUCACACGCAUGCCCUCUACCUGUGGCUGUGCUUGUGUAUACUUGCUGUACAGUGCUGUUCAAAGGACAGAAGUGCCGUGUCCUCACUUCAAGCCCAGGAUGUCCGGAAGCAAGCAGAAAAGCAGCGGUGAUACGACCCGUACUGCCGAGAAGUGCCGGGAACUGAGCCCCAGAGAAGGGACAAAGAGGAAGAAGUAACAAAGACCCGAAGAGACUCAGCAGGAAAAGGCCGGGGCGGUUUCUUUACGUGAAGAGGCACUGUUAGAUCUGGGGACCCAGGCCCCGAAUGUACACUGGUACACAAAGUCUGCAGCGGGCAUUCAGGAUGCAGCCCAGGGCUACCACGGCAUCUGAGAUGAGAACAAAAGGAGCCAGUGCCCAUCAGGAUGCAGCCCAGUGCUACCACGGCAUCCGAGAUGAGAACAAAAGGAGCCAGUGCCCAUCAGGAUGUAGCCCAGGGCUACCACGGCAUCUGAGAUGAGAACAAAAGGAGCCAAUGCCCAUCAGGAUGCAGCCCAGGGCUACCACGGCAUCUGAGAUGAGAACAAAAGGAGCCAGUGCCCAGACAUCACCUGAUCCUGGUUUCAAGAGGGUAGAUGAU